rnacentral:rRNA from 1 species
AUACGUAGGUGGCAAGCGUUAUCCGGAUUUAUUGGGCGUAAAGCGAGCGCAGGCGGUUUUUUAAGUCUGAUGUGAAAGCCCUCGGCUUAACCGAAGAAGUGCAUCGGAAACUGGGAAACUUGAGUGCAGAAGAGGACAGUGGAACUCCAUGUGUAGCGGUGAAAUGCGUAGAUAUAUGGAAGAACACCAGUGGCGAAGGCGGCUGCCUGGUCUGUAACUGACGCUGAGGCUCGAAAGCGUGGGUAGC